rnacentral:rRNA from 1 species
CCUACGGGAGGCAGCAGUGGGGAAUAUUGCACAAUGGGGGAAACCCUGAUGCAGCGACGCCGCGUGAGUGAAGAAGUAAUUCUUUAUGUAAAGCUCUAUCAGCAGGGAAGAAAAUGACGGUACCUGAGUAAGAAGCCCCGGCUAACUACGUGCCAGCAGCCGCGGUAAGACGUAGGGGACAAGCGUUAUCCGGAUUUACCGGGUGUAAAGGGAGCGUAGACGGCAGUGCAAGUCUGGAGUGAAAGGCGGGGGCUCAACCCCCGGACUGCUCUUGAAACUGUACGGCUGGAGUGCAGGAGAGGUAAGUGGAAUUCCUGGUGUAGCGGUGAAAUGCGUAGAUAUUAGGAGGAACACCGGUGGCGAAGGCGGCUUACUAGACUGUAACUGACGUUGAGGCUCGAAAGCGUGGGGAGCAAACAGGAUUAGAUACCCGAGUAGUC